UGAUGCAAAGUAUGGAAGAUGAUUAAUGUAUCAGCUUAUCAUAGAUUUGUACUAAUGAAAGUUAUGCUACUCCAAGUCCAUCUAUCAAUAGAUUGGCAAAAAGAAGACUAUGCAAAACUCAAAGUUGAAAGUUAAAUGAUUAAUUAUGUUAUCAAGUUAUAAGAUCAGGAUAUAACAUUAAUAACAUAGUAAUGGUUAGUGUACAACAUAGAAAAGUAAGUAAAAUGGUUAGUGGGUUGGUAUAAUCAAAAGA
rnacentral:lncRNA from 1 species